GCACCUGGGAAGGGUGAAGAGGGAGGGGGUUCAUCCUAUGGAAAGCUCUCAUCGGCCCUCAGCGGCAGCCGGCGUUUCUGUCCUCCAGCUGAGGAAGCGGAAGCUGAGGAGUCCAGAGAGUGGAGGUUCGAACCCAGAGCCACGCGAUCCCUUCGCCUGUGCGUGCCCUCCACCCAGGAUUCAGAAGCCCCGGUGCUGACAGAGGCAAGAGGAUAAGGGAAGUGGCAUGGACUGAGCGGAGUCACAGCCUAUACCCGGCGGACACCAGAUAUAAUGCCAUGGGGGGUGCAGACCCUAGGUGGCCAGGUUUGCCAAUUUUCCAAGAGAAGCCAGACAUAAUUUGUAUGAAAUACCCCCAACAUCAAAAUAUUGGCAGCUCUACAGUUGCCUGUAAGACCAAACACCAAGUUCGAUAGGCAGAAUUCUGAGGUGGCCCCCAGGUUUCCCACCAGAUAUGUGUGCUUCAUAUAAUGCCUGCCCCCUGACCUUGAGAGUGUGCUAGGCCUGUGACUAUGAUGGGGUGUCACUCCCCUCGUCAAGUUACAUGACGAAGGUGAAGGGAUUGUGCAGAUGUAUUGGAGGUCCUGAAGCGCUUGAUUUUAAGUGAAGCAAGACCGAUUGUCCUAGGUGGGCCUGACCAAAUCAGGCGAUCCUUUUAAAUGAGUCUGUUGCCAGAGACAGAAGAAAUCAGAGUGAUGGGGAGCAUCCAGGACACCCUUCAGUUGGUCUUAAAUGAGCAGACUGUUGUGGAGAGGACCACCUGGUAGGGACAGUACAUGGCCUCCAGGAGCUGAGAACCUCAGUCCUACAACCAUAAGAAACUGAAUCCUGCCAGCAACCAAGGAACUUGGCAGAGGACCCAGGCCUCAGGUGUUCUCUUACCUCCAUGGGGUUGAUGAGUGUCUGGGAGGUCGCCACAGCUAGGGAGCCAGCAAGGAGACGUUCCUGAAAGGGUGGGGACCCGUGCACUCCGCAGAAGUAAUUCUUACACUAGAGCGGGGGAGAGGACCAGAGAGAACUUCUAACCUUCCUAGCUGAAAACCACCCUGGGUCUGGGGCCAGAGCGUGAAAGCGUGUCUUGGGGGCAAUCUUGAGGACGUUGAUGCCAUUGCCCCGCCACAGGGAGCGGAAGCCCCCUUCCUGGACCAUGCUUCGGAGCCCCCCCAGCAGGUUCAUGAAGUUAGUCUUGGAGGAGUAGACCUAGGGAACGGGAGGCCACUGGCCUUGUGAGGAGCCUCCCACCCGGAUCGCCUCCAUCCCAGCCUGGAGCUCAACCCCGUCCUGUCCCUAGCCACCCAACCCCAUUCCUCCUCCUGCUCCCUCCCCAGCUGGCCUCACAGCACUGUAACCCACACAGACCCACGUGCCCAUCUCCGUCCUCGUCUUCCUCUCCUUACCUGUUCUAGUUUGCCUUCAAAGCCAUCCAAAGACCCUAUCCCCAAUUCCCUUAUCCCCCGCCCCACCCUGUCCCUCCUGCCUUCUCUCGGCUCCUCCUUCAACCCCAUUGGCUCCAGCGUUAUCCUCAACUCCAGCCCCCACCCUUGUCUCCAUUCAGCCUCCUCCUGACUCCAACCCACAUCCCAGCCCCACCCUCCCCCCCAUCCUGAACCCCAUCAGCUCUGCCUCCGUCCAGCCCCACCCCAAAGGCUCCAGUGCUGGGUUCCCCGCGCACCUGCAUAUACACCUUGGCUCGGUCCAGA